UUAAACUCAAUCUGUAUAAUUUUAUUUACUAAAAAAAAAAAUUUGCAAGUAAUAACAUCAUACUAAUAAAUUUAAAAAUCAUUCUAUUAAACAAGGACUAUUGACAUUAUUAGUAAUAAACGACUUUAUUUAUAAGAAAGAGCGUCUGUGCAGGAAUAUUUCGGACUUCGAAGCAGUGCUUAAUAAAAAAAACAAAACACAAUAUUUAACCAAAGCUGGCUACUUAAAUAACUAAACAUUUGUACUAUAAAAAAACAGCAAUAAAGUAUCCUAGAUCGGCUUUAAAUUUGUGCAGAUCGAAAAUAAAAAUAGGUGCGAACACAGUUCAGCGAUACUGAAGCCGAAGAACGACGGAAUAGGAAGGAGCGGGCUCUUAACAAGGUUUAUAGACUGAUAUUGUAUUGUAGUGUAUAGACUGAAUUGUUAUACCCUUGCAGAGGGUAUUAUAAUUGCAUUCAGUGAAGCUGACAUAUCCGACUCUAAAAAGUAUAGAUAUUUUGAGUCGAUCCAUCCGUCCGUCCGUCCUGCCGACCGUUUCUACACAAACUAGUCUCUCAGUUUAAAAGCUAUCUGCAUAGAACUUUGCCAAAAGUUGUCUUUCUGUUGCAGGUAGUAUACAUAAGUCGGAACAAGCCGGAUCGGACGACCAUAUCAUUUAGUUCCCAAAAAAAGGUACAAAAAUUGUAACUGCUGUUUUUUCAUAUUUUACUUUUGUUCUUAGACACACAGUAACUAUUUAAAUUUUAUUGAAAUCAGACGACUAUGGAAAUAAUCAGAAUAUUACAAAAUAAAUGAAAAAGUUGAAACUUAUUAUUAUAAAAAUAAGGCACAUUUAGAUUGAAUUUCAACUUGAAGUCAUUUUUACCGUUGGUUAUCGUAACUACAGCGGCUCACAGCUUAUUUGAUGCAGAGCCCAUUUAAAAAUGUAUUCGGCUGUAACUCUUAAAACGCUAAGAGCUGUCUUAAAAAUUUUAAUGGCUUAUAAUAGAUUUAUAUAUUUAGUGUAAUAAAGGAACAUCGUUUUUUUCAUACGAAGAAGUC